rnacentral:rRNA from 1 species
GGGGAAUAUUGCACAAUGGGCGGAAGCCUGGUGCAGCGACGCCGCGUGAGGGAUGACGGCCUUCGGGUUGUAAACCUCUUUCAGCAGGGACGAAGCGAAAGUGACGGUACCUGCAGAAGAAGCCCCGGCCAACUACGUGCCAGCAGCCGCGGUAAUACGUAGGGGGCGAGCGUUGUCCGGAUUUAUUGGGCGUAAAGAGCUCGUAGGCGGUUUGGUAAGUCGGGUGUGAAAUCUCCACGCUCAACGUGGAGGGGCCACUCGAUACUGCCAUGACUCGAGUCCGGUAGAGGAGUGUGGAAUUCCCGGUGUAGCGGUGAAAUGCGCAGAUAUCGGGAGGAACACCCGUAGCGAAGGCGGCACUCUGGGCCGGAACUGACGCUGAGGAGCGAAAGCGUGGGGAGCAAAC